CUACGGGAGGCAGCAGUGGGGAAUAUUGCGCAAUGGGCGAAAGCCUGACGCAGCCAUGCCGCGUGUGUGAAGAAGGCCUUAGGGUUGUAAAGCACUUUCAAUUGGGAGGAAGGAGUUAAAGUUAAUAGCUUUGACUUUUGACGUUACCUUUAGAAGAAGCACCGGCUAACUCCGUGCCAGCAGCCGCGGUAAUACGGAGGGUGCGAGCGUUAAUCGGAAUUACUGGGCGUAAAGCGCGCGUAGGCGGUUUGUUAAGUCGGAUGUGAAAGCCUCGGGCUCAACCUGGGAACUGCACCCGAUACUGGCCGACUUGAGUGCGAGAGAGGGAGGUAGAAUUCCAUGUGUAGCGGUGAAAUGCGUAGAUAUAUGGAGGAAUACCGGUGGCGAAGGCGGCCUCCUGGCUCGACACUGACACUGAGGUGCGAAAGCGUGGGUAGCAAACAGGAUUAGAUACCCUGGUAGUCCACGCCGUAAACGAUGUCUACUAGCCGUUGGGGAACUUGAUUCUUUAGUGGCGCAGCUAACGCAAUAAGUAGACCGCCUGGGGAGUACGGCCGCAAGGUUAAAACUCAAAU
rnacentral:rRNA from 1 species